AAAUUGAAGAGUUUGAUCAUGGCUCAGAUUGAACGCUGGCGGCAGGCCUAACACAUGCAAGUCGAACGGUAACAGGAAGCAGCUUGCUGCUUCGCUGACGAGUGGCGGACGGGUGAGUAAUGUCUGGGAAACUGCCUGAUGGAGGGGGAUAACUACUGGAAACGGUAGCUAAUACCGCAUAACGUCGCAAGACCAAAGAGGGGGACCUUCGGGCCUCUUGCCAUCAGAUGU
rnacentral:rRNA from 1 species